ACACCGAGUGAUAAAAGGGGCGGAAAUUAGUUUGUCAUAGAAGAGAAUUAAUGAUACCGCAAAGGCCUUCUGUUAUGCUCUACUCAUCAUGGAUGCGAUAGCCAAGUGUUGUGAUAUAAUUUGCUGGUGCAAUACAAUUUUUUGACCUGAUGAAAGUAUAUUACUGUGGUAUAUACUUGCAAUUUUAAGCUGUUUAAUAAUUAUUAAUUGGCUAAUGCGAAUUACAUGGCAUUUGUUGUGGAAUAUGGAUGGAUUCCAGCAGGUAUUGAGAAUCAUCUGUUAAAAUUUACAUUGUUAUCUGUUGUAUCUUACGAGAUUAGGUUUUGUUUUUUGGAACUUUAGGACUUAGCGGGGGUCUCAGAGAUUCAUGAACUUUUUUGUAAUAAGAUAAACAAAUCUCAAAGGUGAAUUGUAUUAGUAAAUAAUAUACAUGGCAAAGUGUUUCGAGAGUUGUGUUUGGAUCGGAUUUAGCUAUAUCUAAAUUACAAUCCAAAUAUUAUCGGGUUUAGAAAUUAAAUUCAAAUUUAUGGAUUCUGGAUCGGAUUAGAUUUUUAUUUUCGGGUAUCUAAAUUUUUAAGUAAUGUUGUAUAGUUCAAAAUUCUUUAUACUAGCAUAUACUAAAACUUUUUCUUAUCCAAGCGAAGAAUAACACACACAAAGUUCUUUGGAGUCCUCAGUUUAGUUAGUUAUCCAGCCGUGAUGCCUCCGCGGCCUGUAGUGCUAGAAACACUAUUAGGGGAGAGGAGAAAAGCAGUGGUGAUAUUGGGUGCAUGUGUAUAGCACUGGUUGGAGAAGACAAACAACCACCGAUGGUGGUGGUGAGCGAGGGAGGGAGGGAUGGAGAUUGACUAGUGUUUGGCAGUGGCGUUAGUGGUGAUUAUUGGAGUUGAUUGUGGUGAUGAUGGAUGUAUGCAUGUAUUUGUUAAAUUAAAAACUGCUAAUAAAAUACUUGAAAGACCACCUAUCCAGUUAUCCAAUAUUGGACUUGAAAGAUUACCUAUCCAUCCACCCAAUAUUGUUUAAUCAUGCGGUCACAAUUAAUCUUGUGUGAAAAACUGGAGAUAAAAAAUAAUUCACUCAUAUUGUAGAAACUCCAUAACAUAAUAUUAUGUUAAGGGUCAUGUUUCAUACCAACUGGUUGCCGACAAAGGGUUAUCUAACACACUGUAUGAGAGCCAUUAGAUUUAGACUUUAAGGGCUCAGAUCCAAUUUUGGGUUUUUAAUGUAUCCGCUGUAAAUAUCCGCGGAAUGAAAGUUUUCCAAUAUCCGCGGAAAGGGAGAAAUAUCCGUGGAUACAUUAAAAACCCAAGAUUGGAUCUGAGCCCUUUAAAAUCUAAAUCUAACGGCCUCUGUACAGAGUGUUACCGUACAGUGUGUUUGAUAACCCCUUCCCGGCAACCGGUUGGUAGGGAACAUGACCCUUAUGUUAAUAUGUUAAUUUAUUUUUUAUAAAAUUGCAUAUGAAAUUUAUGGUAAUAUCUUGUUUUUGUUCAUACUAAUUUUGAGAUUAUUUGUUUAUACUUAUUCUUUUAAACAAUUAUAAUAUUCACUCUUAAUACAGAAAACAUCAUAUUAAUUAUUUUUUUCAUAAUGACUUAUCUUAUUAUUCUAAGUUAUUGUAAUAAUAUUCUUAAGAAUUUCAUCUGAUUAUACUAUAUUGUAAUAAUAUUUUUAAGAAUUUGUUGUAUAUUUUUAUGAGUAUCUUAAUGAACUUAUAAUUAUAUUAACAUUUUAUUGAACUUCUAAUUAUAUUGUAUUAAUACAUUAAACUGAUAAUUUUAGAGAAAUAUAUUGAUUAUUGAUUAUUUAAUUUUAAUUAUAUUUUUAAUAAAUUAAGUAUAAUUUUAAAAUACUGCAAGAACUAAAAGAUAUAAAAAAGGUUGUGUGUAUGUUAACGCUAGUUUCAGAAAACAGUCCAACACUCUUAAUGCUAGUUUUGAAAAGCAGUCCAACACUUUUAAUUCUUCAUCACUCAAUCGGCCCCGCAAGAACAGUUUUAAGACGGUUUUAUGUUGGAUCAGCGCGGGAUCUCAAGACAACAACUAAAAUUCAGAAGCAUAUUUAUGUGUUUUAUAUAUGUAUAGAUGGAGAAUUGGUAGUGAUAUAAAGAUAUGGAUCAAAUUUAGAGAAUGUUUUUGUUAUAGAAUGAAAAAUUAUGUAACAUGCCUAUUUAUGUGUUUUAUGUAUGUAUAUGUUCAGAAUUGUAGGAUAGAUUGACUGUUUGUGUGUGCUUGAAUUGAGUAUAUAUAGAAGGAUUAAGCAGUAAUAAAUUACAACAGUUACAAUCAGCUUGUUUGUAAACUAUGUAGCCAUGGUUGCGAAGUUGCAACCAUUAUUUAAAUACAUCAAUAUUAGUUGUAAUUACUAAUUGACAAGUUAUAAAUUAAUGUUAAUGUUAUAUUUGGUUGUAGAAAAUGGUAAACAUGUUUUUAUACUACAACGCGGUGGAUAAUGGGAUGAAAACAAAAAUUAUAUCAAUUUUAAGGUAUAUGGGUUGUUUAUUCCCAACGAUUGUAACUAUAAUAACUUGGUCGCAACAAUAUACAUCGAACUUUAGAAACUAUUGUACUUAAGAAUAAAAUAAAGUAUUAAGCAAGAGAUGGAUCCCUUCUUUCAAAAUAGUUGAUGAUAGUCAAUUCAUGUUCUAUAUGUAGCUGAAGAAAAAGGUAUCUAAUUACACAAAGUUUUUUUUUUUGCUUGAUAAAUGAAAUGAAAAGUUCUAACUCUUUUGCCACGACACGCUAUUUGUUGUGUUUUCAGCCUACACAAUCAAAAUAUGGUGCAUCAAAUGUCGUUCAUAAGUAGUCUGUUGGCACUAUUUCAAAAAAAUUGACAACAUUUAUCUUGCUACUUAAAUAUUCUUGCUUUAACUAUUUUUAUCAAUUACAAUUAUUGCUGCAAAAGUUGCAAACCUGUUUGUUGUAGUUGCAACCAUGGUUGCAACCUUUGUCAUUCUAAUGGAACAACAAUAAAUAUAACACUUUUGUUUAAACUAAUGUUAAAUCAACUGCUCAAUCCAUCAAAUGACUCAGUGUUCAAUAUUUUUGUAAUGCCGACAACAAAUCUAUUAUCAAUUUGGUGACCAAAAAUUGUAAAUCCGAAAGGUGAUUCAUGAUAUUGCUUCAAUAAAAUAUCACAAAUACAUGUUCUCCGCAUAUCUUUAUACGAUAUAUAUUUUGUUGUAAAACAGGUUUCAGAAAACCUACUUGUCCAAAUAUAAUUGCUGUUUUGUAGAAAAUAAAUAAUAAUCCUUAUGAUUAUUGUUCAUCAUAUUACACAAAACCAACAACGAUUGUUGCUUAUAUAGAAUUAGCAUAUUAAUUCAGUUGGCAAUAAAGACACAUAAAAAGUACCAGAAUAUCAAAGCGAGGAAAAUAUACCCACAAAGACAGGAUCAUAAUAGGAAGACCAAAAAAGAGAAGGUACAAAGUUGCCUGAAAGACGAAUAUGCCAACUUAACAAGUCAAUUGUGGGGAUACGGUUAAUGAAUACAUUAUAGAAGAACUUGUAGAAACCCAUCAUCUAAAUAAAUAAUUUAGUUAUUUACAAAUUACGAUGUAAACUGUAAAUUGCUAAGUUGAUUAAGUUUUAAGUAGUAAUGGAAUUGAUAUGGCACGUGUUUUUAAAUUUCCAAGUUCUUUUUAUUACGAGGAAAAUUUCCAAGUUCGAGUGAAGUCAGAAGAAGGGCAUUAUCCGUGUUAAAAUCAUUUGCAAAAGUAUGAUCCUAAAUCAGUUAUAAAAGUCUGUUUUUUGAUUGUUUGGCCAAAUAUACUGUGCAUGUGCUGUUCAGCUGAUUUUUUUUUAUGACAUUUGAAAUCCUUACCCAGGCCAAUCCGACUGUGACUAUGACCUAUAUCACAGUAUUCGGCCCUUCCCUUGCUGAUUGCUUAAAAGAUGCAAGCACUCCUGUCAGACUUGCCGCAGAGAGGUGUGCAUUGCAUGCCUUCCAAUUAUCAAAAGGUUUGUGAAUGCAUCUAUCUAUCUAUAUAUGGAGAUGUUCUAUUUUUUCAUUUUUCUUCCACUGCUUGUUAUAAUAUUUGGAUAUUUUUUACUGCUUGGAAUAUUCAAUACAGGAGGCUUCCUACUUCUUGUAGAUGCUUGCAGUAUAUCUUUAUGUUUCUGAUUGCUUAAGACUUUUGUAAUUAUUGUUUAUUUUCUAUUAAAUAAUUUUCAGGGACAGACAAUAUUCAAACUUCACAGAAAUUCAUAACAGGCUUGGAUGCUAGACGCAUUUCGAAGUUCCCUGAACAUAGGUAAUUUAUAGGGUUUUUUUUACAUGUUCUCCUUAGUUGCUCUGUAUUGAAAUAAAAGCUUCUAAAAAAGUGAAAACUGUUAAAAUAUCUCAAAAUUAAACGUCCACGGUAUUGCAACAUUUCUAGUUUUCAAGGGUUCCACCAGUGUGAAGGCAAAAAGAAAAAGAAAAGUACUGAUAUCUCUUAAACUGUUAAAUGUAUAUAGUUUUCUGGUCUCCUCAAAGCUAUGUGGUUUUUGUAUACUCCUUCCUUUGCAGGGAGUUCAAAGUAAUCACUUUCAUAUUUAUGUGAAAGUUUGUAUAAGAAGGUUCUGAUACAAUACAGUGGUCGACUUCAUACCCAAUUUUUUCUUCAUAUGCAUUUAAAUUUCCAUUUAAGCAGAACCUGCUGAGGUAAUACAUAUACUAAUUAUGAGUGUGCCACAUCUCACUAGCUUUGUAGUAGUAGGCCACAUUUUAAUAAUAACAUUGAGAUCCGCAGUGAUCAAACUAACUCACAUAUUUGACAAUUACUCAUCUUCUUGGUCUAUUCUUUCCACCGUGGAAGCAAUUACAGAGGUUUGGUGCCCAAUAAUCACAACUCACAAGUUGCAUCCUUCCAUUACUAGAUCUGUAGUAUGGUCAUUUGUUUUAGUGCUAUGAGUCAAAUCUUUUAAAGCGAAACUAUUCAGUGUGCCUUGUUUGUCCAUGAGAAUUAACGAAUAUGCUGUUUAUAGCUAAGAUUUAUUUUAAAAUUAUUGCCUAUUUUUGUAAGAUUUUGCACUGAUGUUUAUGCAAGUUUUUGCACUAAUUUUUCUGUUGUAUUUUUUGAGUGCUCAUUGAGUUAUUAUAACUGCUGAAAUACUUUUUGAUGCAGUGAUGACAGUGAAGACAGCGACAAUGACUUGUUAAUUGGCUGAUUUAUGUUUUAUUUUAUUAGAAAUUGUUUCACCUUUCAUAGGCCUUGCCCUGGUGAAAGUUUUACAGAAGUAAUUAACAGCCAGAAGUUUCCCAGCACAUUAUUUAUACUUGAAUUAGAACCCAUUAAAAUGAUAGAUCCCUGUUUUUCUCGAUGUAAUUGUUCAUGUAGAAAUUUUGAACACCGAGUGAUAAAAGGGGCGGAAAUUAGUUUGUCAUAGAAGAGAAUUAAUGAUACCGCAAAGGCCUUCUGUUAUGCUCUACUCAUCAUGGAUGCGAUAGCCAAGUGUUGUGAUAUAAUUUGCUGGUGCAAUACAAUUUUUUGACCUGAUGAAAGUAUAUUACUGUGGUAUAUACUUGCAAUUUUAAGCUGUUUAAUAAUUAUUAAUUGGCUAAUGCGAAUUACAUGGCAUUUGUUGUGGAAUAUGGAUGGAUUCCAGCAGG
rnacentral:lncRNA from 1 species